AAUCUAUGAUGUGGGCAUUGUUACAAUAACCCCUUAAAUCUGCCUUAUGCCUUGAACAAAGACUCUCUUUCCUUCUCUGCAAAGCUCAUGAUUUUAUUCCUCAUAUA